rnacentral:rRNA from 1 species
UACGGGGGGGGCAAGCGUUGUUCGGAAUUACUGGGCGUAAAGGGCUCGUAGGCGGCCAACUAAGUCGGAUGUGAAAUCCCCAGGCUUAACCUGGGAACUGCAUCCGAUACUGGAUGGCUUGAAUCCGGGAGAGGGAUGCGGAAUUCCAGGUGUAGCGGUGAAAUGCGUAGAGAUCCGGAGGAAGACCGGUGGCGAAGGCGGCCUGCGUGGGC